GUUGGGGUAGCCUAGCCUGGUAGGGCGUUAGACUGCUAAUCUAAUGAUACACUAGUAUCGCAGGGGUUCAAAUCCCUUCCCCAAUG
rfam:Methanobrevibacter smithii ATCC 35061, complete genome.